AUGCUGCCGGUUGGCAUCAAGUUCGAUCCCACGGAUCAGGAGCUGAUCAAGCACCUUGAAGCCAAAGUGAGUGCUGACAACACGAGAUCUCACCCUCUCAACGAUUUGUUCAUACCAACCAUCGACAGCGAGCACGGCAUAUGCUACACCCAUCCUGAGAAACUUCCAGGUAUCACACUGAGUGGCCUAAGAAAGCAUUUCUUCCAGCGCAACUCAAGGGCGUUCAAAAGGGGCACGUGGACGCAUUGGAAGAUACAGUCGGAGUGCGGCAUGCACGCGAUGUGGCACAAGACCGGCAAUACCUUGCCGGUGAUGGUCAACGGCCGGCAGACGGGCAGUAAAAAGGUUCUGGUGAUGCACACCAACAAGAACUUCGACCAGCAAAGGACCAAUUGGGUGAUGCACCAGUACCACCUCGGGGACCUGGAGCAAGAGAAGGAGCUAGAGCUGCUGGUCGUCUGCAAGUUGGUAUUGUUGUUAACGAUCUUUCGGGGAACCAUCCGGUUUCAAAGGCUGAUAGUUGGACGCAGCAUGUCAGAACUUGGUUGUGGCAUGCCAAGCCCAGCUGCAAAGUUAAAAGAGAGGAGCGAUGGAUUUGGGCCUUCCAGAACAGUUAAGUGUCACGACCUCGAUCAUGAAGCGCCUCCCAUGGACUAA
rnacentral:rRNA from 1 species